rnacentral:rRNA from 1 species
CAGCAACGGAUCUCUUGGCUCUCGCAUCGAUGAAGAACGCAGCGAAAUGCGAUAAGUAAUGUGAAUUGCAGAAUUCAGUGAAUCAUCGAAUCUUUGAACGCACCUUGCGCUCCUUGGUAUUCCGAGGAGCAUGCCUGUUUGAGUGUCAUGUAAUCCU